rnacentral:misc_RNA from 1 species
GUUUUAAAUUUUGACCAUCAAAGGCCUACUAUUAGACAUUCAUUAUAACUUUUUUGAAAGAGUGUAUAAAAACAUAGGCAACGGACUGUUACAUCCAUAUAAACCUACAAUAAGUUCACAGGUGGAUUGAAAAAGGUGGAGUGCACAUGCCCCCUAAAAGGCCAGCAACAUCCUAAGGAUUCAAUAAUGAUCCUUCCGCAGGUUCACCUACGGAAA